UUAAUAAAAAAAAGAGAAAGGAAAAUCAUUUACUUGAUGUGAACAAAAAACACCAACUAAAGAAAAUGAAUCAUUGGCUAACAAUCUUUUGGGGGGACGAUGAUUUAACUUCGAAUACCUUCAAAUUUCUAACUUUCCAAAUAUUCCAGUUGCUGCAAUGGAAAUGGAAGGUCAUUCAUUUUCCAAGCAAUUUCUGAGUCUGGGCAAAAAAGAAGGCAAUGAACAGUGGACUCCUCACUCGCCAUACACCGAGGGCAUAAGGGAGACACCGAAUUGAUCCUGGUUCCAAAUCGAAGACCAAAACCUUUUUUACUCUGCACUGCUCUGGUAGGAAUUCAGUUGGGACAUGGUAAAAUUGGAAUGCCAGCAAAUACCCUGAAGCAACGGAAUAGUUUUCAUUCCUCUCCCUAGGCCAGGAGGAGAAUGAGGAGGAAGAGAAACGCGAAGAAGAAGGCAAAGAAGAAGACGCUCCGCACGUAAACGAGCGUGAGAAGAAGAAGAAGAGGCCCGUAGGAGAAGAGAAGAAGAGAAGAAGCGUGAGGAAAGAAAAAAGCAGGAAGAGCGCGUGAUCUAAAAUUGCUUGGAUGAACUUAGAUGCCAAAAAUGUUUGGAUGUAGAGAAUAUCUCAAAAGGAUGAUUUUUAUUUUAGUGUAUUGACAAAAAUAGAGGAAAAGCGAAGAAAUACUUUUAGAAACUAAUAAAUGCUCUUAAGAGUAUUAAAAAUAAUAAUUUAUGUUUAGUAUAUUAAUAAAUAGGAAGUGUAAUAAAAAUAUAAAAAAAAUUAAACUUUCAAUAAAUACUUUUCAUUUUUAACAAGUACCACUUGUUAACCACCAAAUCCAUAUUUUUAUCGUGUUAUUUACCUUGGGCGAAAGUUCUGUUACCCAAGAUAAAUGCUCGUGGAAUAGAAGCAUUUGAGUGAUUCGAGAAUUGAAAAUAAUCGCCGGGUCAACAUUAAGAGAAGGUAAUAUGUAGAGACUACAAGGGGAAAAAAAGGUAAAAAGCUUCCACCGUGAGGUAUGGAUGAAAGUAACAUUCUAGAAUUCAUGUCCAAGCUAGUUGGCACACACACUCGUCUAAGAUAAAAUGGAUGAGUGAGAUUUUCAUUUUGACUAAAAUAUCAACAUUAUCAAAUAUAUUCAGAAACAAAGUAUACAUGUUUAUGUGACCUAAAACGUUUCAUCUGUCAAGAUUACACCAGAAAACUAAUACUUUCUCCUAACAUUUCAUCUAACAAGAUACGAGUAAAGUAAGUUUUACCUGCAUUCCAUAUGGAUAAAUCAUUUUGACUUUUUUGGUAGAGUCAUAAAUCAA